CCGGGUGCGCGACCACGAGGAAGGAUGGCGAGGGAGGAAACCGCGCUUUGUUGUUGAGGUGAAACGGGUGCACGAUCCCGAGGAAGUAUUGCCAGGGAGGAAACCGCGCUUUGCUGGUGAGGUGAGCUGGGUGCGCGAUCACGAGGAAGGAUCGCGAGGGAGGAAACCGCGCUUUGUUGGUGAGGUGAAACGGGUGCGCGACCAUGAGGAAGUCUGGCGAGGGAGGAAACCGC
rnacentral:lncRNA from 1 species